GGUGACCUCGAUCAGUAGAAUCCCGCUGAACUUAAGCAUAUCAAUAAGCGGAGGAAAAGAAACCAACACGGAUUGCCUCAGUAACGGCGAGUGAAGCGGCACAGCUCAAAUUUGAAAUCUGCCUCUUUGGGGUCCGAGUUGUAAUUUGUAGAGGAUGUUUUCUGGUACCGCCCCCGGUCUAAAUUUCUUGGAACAGAACGUCAGAGAAGGGUGAGAAUCUCGUCUUGGACCAGCGGUAGGGCGCAUGUGAAACUCCUUCUACGAGUCGAGUUUUUUGGGGAAAGGCACAAA
rnacentral:rRNA from 1 species